rnacentral:rRNA from 1 species
UACGGGGGGGGCAAGCGUUGUUCGGAAUUACUGGGCGUAAAGGGCUCGUAGGCGGCCAACUAAGUCGGACGUGAAAUCCCCAGGCUCAACCUGGGAACUGCAUCCGAUACUGGAUGGCUUGAAUUCGGGAGAGGGAUGCAGAAUUCCAGGUGUAGCGGUGAAAUGCGUAGAUAUCUGGAGGAAUACCGGUGGCGAAGGCGGCAUCCUGGACCGACAUUGACGCUGAGGAGCGAAAGCCAGGGGAGCAAAGCGGG